UAAGGGCGCACGGUGGAUGCCUUGGCACUAGAAGCCGAUGAAGGACGUUACUAACGACGAUAUGCUUUGGGGAGCUGUAAGUAAGCUUUGAUCCAGAGAUUUCCGAAUGGGGAAACCCAGCAUGAGUUAUGUCAUGUUAUCGAUAUGUGAAUACAUAGCAUAUCAGAAGGCACACCCGGAGAACUGAAACAUCUUAGUACCCGGAGGAAGAGAAAGAAAAUUCGAUUCCCUUAGUAGCGGCGAGCGAAACGGGAAGAGCCCAAACCAACAAGCUUGCUUGUUGGGGUUGUAGGACACUCUAUACGGAGUUACAAAGGACGACAUUAGACGAAUCAUCUGGAAAGAUGAAUCAAAGAAGGUAAUAAUCCUGUAGUCGAAAAUGUUGUCUCUCUUGAGUGGAUCCUGAGUACGACGGAGCACGUGAAAUUCCGUCGGAAUCUGGGAGGACCAUCUCCUAAGGCUAAAUACUCUCUAGUGACCGAUAGUGAACCAGUACCGUGAGGGAAAGGUGAAAAGCACCCCGGAAGGGGAGUGAAAUAGAACCUGAAACCGUGUGCUUACAAGUAGUCAGAGCCCGUUAAUGGGUGAUGGCGUGCCUUUUGUAGAAUGAACCGGCGAGUUACGAUUUGAUGCAAGGUUAAGCAGUAAAUGUGGAGCCGUAGCGAAAGCGAGUCUGAAUAGGGCGUUUAGUAUUUGGUCGUAGACCCGAAACCAGGUGAUCUACCCUUGGUCAGGUUGAAGUUCAGGUAACACU
rnacentral:rRNA from 1 species